AUGAGAAAAUUCAUACUUUGGAAAGAAGAACCCUUCAAAUGUAAGGAAUAUGUCAAAGUCAUUACCUCAUCCUCCAAGCUUUGCUCAACAUAAGAGGAUUCAUACAGGAGAUAUUCAUCUUGGAGAGAAACCUACACAUUGUGAAGAAUUGCAAAGCCUCUUUAGACAGUUCCGCAUCCUUAUAAUUGGGGAAAUGGUUUUACAGUCCUCACACCUGAAUAACCAUGAGAAAAUUCAUACUAGAAAGAAACCCGUCAAUGUAAGGGAAUGUGGGCAAAGUCAUUACCUAUAUCCUCAAGCUUUGCUCAACAUAAAGAGGAUACAUACAGGUAGAACCCUAUUUAAAUUGUUUAGAAUGUGGUAAAUCUUUAACGUCCGCAGUCCUUUUACUAAACAUAGGAGAAAAUUCAUAUGGAGAGAAACCCAUACACAUGUGGAAUGUGUGCAUAAGCCUUUAACAGUCUGCAAUCCUUUAUGUACAUAGGAGAAUUCAUUACUUGGAGAGAAACCUACAACAUGUGAAGAUGGCGGACAAAACCUUUAGACGUCUGCAAACCCUAUAUGCCACAUAGGAGUAAUUCAUACUGGAGAGAAACUUACAAAUGUGGAAGAUGUGGCAAAGCCUUUGGACAGUCACAGACCUGAAUCGACAUAAGAACGUUCAUCUCGAGAGAAACCUUACAAAUGUGAAGAGUGUGGCCAACACUUUGCAUGGCGCACAGCCCUGAUUCAACACAAGAAAUUCACACUGGGAGAGAACUUCCAAAUGUGAGAGAAACCCUACACAUGUGUAGAUCGUGCAGAGCCUUUGGGAUGGUCCACACAACCUGAAUGAAUAUUAGAAAAAUUUACUGGAGAUAACCCUUCAAAUGUAAAGAAUGUGGGAAAGUGUUUAAACAGGUCCUCAACCUGAAUAGACAUGAGAAAAUUCAUACUAGAAAGAAACCCGUCAAAUGUAAGGAAUGUGGCAAAGUCAUUACCUCAUCCUCAAGCUUUGCUCAACAUAAGAGGAUACAUACAGGUGAGAAACCCUUUAAAUGUUUAGAAUGUGGUAAAGCCUUUAAUCGUUCCGCAGUCCUUACUAAACAUAGGAGAAUUCAUACUGGAGAGAAACCCUACACAUGUGAAGAAUGUGGCAAAGCCUUUAGACAGUCUGCAAUCCUUUAUGUACAUAGGAGAAUUCAUACUGGAGAGAAACCCUACACAUGUGAAGAAUGUGGCAAAGCCUUUAGACAGUCUGCAAACCUUUCUGCACAUAGGAGAAUUCAUACUGGAGAGAAACCUUACAAAUGUGAAGAGUGUGGCAAAGCCUUUGGACAGUACACAGACCUGAAUCGACAUAAGAACAUUCAUACUCGAGAGAAACCUUACAAAUGUGAAGAGUGUGGCAAACACUUUGCAUGGCGCACAGACCUGAAUCGACACAAGAAAACUUAUACUGGGGAGAAACCUUCCAAAUGUGAUGAGUGUGGCAAAGCCUAUGCCCCAUCAACAGACCUGAAUCACCACAAGAAAAUUCUUACUGGAGAGAAACGUUACAAAUGUGAAGAGUGUGGCAAAGCCUUUGGACGGUCCACAGCCCUGAAUCAACACAAGAAAAUUCAUACUGGAGAGAAACCUUACAAAUGUGAAGAGAGUGGCAAAGCCUUUAGUAGGUCAAGAAACCUUGCUGCACACAAGAAAAUUCAUACUGGAGAGAAACCCUACACAUGUGAAGAGAGAGAAACCUUACAAAUGUGAAGAGUGUGGCAAAACCUUUAGACAGUCUGCAAACCUAUAUGCACAUAGGAGAAUUCAUACUGGAGAGAAACCUUACAAAUGUGAAGAGUGUGGCAAACACUUUGCAUGGCGCACAGACCUGAAUCGACACAAGAAAACUUAUACUGGGGAGAAACCUUCCAAAUGUGAUGAGUGUGGCAAAGCCUAUGCCCCAUCUUUGCUCAACAUAAGAGGAUACAUACAGGUGAGAAACCCUUUAAAUGUAAAGAAUGUGGGAAAGCCUUUAAUCGUUCCGCAGUCCUUACUAAACAUAGGAGAAUUCAUACUGGAGAGAAACCCUUCAAAUGUAAGGAAUAUGUCAAAGCCUUUAGACAGUCUACCUCAUCCUCAAGCUUUGCUCAACAUAAGAGGAUUCAUACAGGUGAGAAACCCUUCAAAUGUUUAGAAUGUGGUAAAACCUUUAAUCGUUCCACAAUCCUUACUAAACAUAGGAGAAUUCAUACUGGAGAGAAACCCUACACAUGUGAAGAAUGUGGCAAAGCCUUUAGACAGUCCGCAAUCCUUUAUGUACAUAGGAGAAUUCAUACUGGAGAGAAACCCUACAAAUGUAAAGAAUGUGGCAAACCUUUAGACAGUCUGCAAACCUAUAUGCACAUAGGAGAAUUCAUACUGGAGAGAAACCUUACAAAUGUGAAGAGUGUGGCAAAGCCUUUGGACGCUACACAGACCUGAAUCGACAUAAGAACAUUCAUACUCGAGAGAAACCUUACAAAUGUGAAGAGUGUGGCAAACACCUUGCAUGGCACACAGACCUGAAUCAACACAACAAAACUUAUACUGGGGAGAAACCUUCCAAAUGUGAAGAGUGUGGCAAAGCCUGUGCCCUAUCAACAGACCUGAAUCAACACAAGAAAAUUCAUACUGGAGAGAAACCUUACAAAUAUGAAGAAGGUGACAAAGCCUUUAGUAGGUCAAGAAACCUUGCUGCACAUAACAGAAUUUACACCGGAGAGAAACCCUACACAUGUGAAGAUCGUGGCAGAGCCUUUGGAUGGUCCACAAACCUGAAUGAAUAUAAAAAAAUUCAUACUGGAGAUAAACCCUACAAAUGUAAAGAAUGUGGGGAAGUGUUUAAACAGUCCUCACACCUGAAUAGACAUGAGAAAAUUCAUACUGGAAAGAAACCCUCAAAUGUAAGGAAUGUGGCAAAGUCAUUACCUCAUCCUCAAGCUUUGCUCAACAUAAGAGGAUACAUACAGGUGAGAAACCCUUCAAAUGUUUAGAAUGUGGUAAAGCCUUUAAUAGUUCCACAGUCCUUACUAAACAUAGGAGAAUUCAUACUGGAGAGAAACCCUACACAUGUGAAGAAUGUGGCAAAGCCUUUAGACAGUCUGCAAUCCUUUAUGUACAUAGGAGAAUUCAUACUGGAGAGAAACCCUACACAUGUGAAGAAUGUGGCAAAGCCUUUAGACAGUCUGCAAAUCUUUAUGCACAUAAGAAAAUUCAUACUGGAGAUAAAACUAUACAAGUGUAAAGGAUAUGGCAAAGCCUUUAAGCUGUACUCCAGCCUUCUUAAACAUCAGAGAACUCAUAUCAGGGGAAUGUCUUAUGACGGUUGCAGUCUUUAAAUACUCCUCUAUCCUUUCUAAUUUUAAGAUAAUUCAUGAUGGAGAGAAACUCUACAAAUAUGAAAAAUGUGAGAAAGCUUUUAACCACACCUCAAUCUGUUGUAAACAAUAAGUAAUUAUAUUGAUGAGAAGCCAAAUUAACAUUUAAAAUGUGACAAAGACUUCAAAUUCUUGUCACUUCCUAGUGUAAUUCCUACUGAAGAACACAUCUAGAUACACAAAAAAUGUGGCAGAACUUUUAACCAAUGCUUAAUAUCUUUGCAGAUGAUAGUAUUUAUAUGUGAGGAUACUUGUACAAAUAUAAAAAUAUACAAAAGCUAUUAAUGUCUACUCUAAAUUUAUAGUUAAUAAAAGUAUUAUGUAAUUUCUGUUGAAAGACCUUUUAUAAAAUACAGGCUAUUAAAGUUAAGAAGAGUAGUCUUAAGACAGAGAAUACAAAGAUAAAGAGGGCUCUAGUGCCUGUACUUGUAUCCCAGAACUUACUGUAUACAUUUUGUACUAGAGGAAAACUCUGAAGCAGUUGCUCAAACUUUGUU